rnacentral:rRNA from 1 species
GAUGAACGCUGGCGGCGUGCUUAACACAUGCAAGUCGAACGGAAAGGCCCAAGCUUGCUUGGGUACUCGAGUGGCGAACGGGUGAGUAACACGUGGGUGAUCUGCCCUGCACUUCGGGAUAAGCCUGGGAAACUGGGUCUAAUACCGGGUAGGACCACUUCUUGGAUGUUGUGGUGGAAAGUUUUUUCGGUGUGGGAUGAGCUCGCGGCCUAUCAGCUUGUUGGUGGGGUAAUGGCCUACCAAGGCGUCGACGGGUAGCCGGCCUGAGAGGGUGUACGGCCACAUUGGGACUGAGAUACGGCCCAGACUCCUACGGGAGGCAGCAGUGGGGAAUAUUGCACAAUGGGCGCAAGCCUGAUGCAGCGACGCCGCGUGGGGGAUGACGGCCUUCGGGUUGUAAACUCCUUUCGCUAGGGACGAAGCGUUUUGUGACGGUACCUGGAGAAGAAGCACCGGCUAACUACGUG